rnacentral:piRNA from 1 species
GACUCAACUAUUGUGCUGGGCUGGAUC